GCUGGCGGUAGGCUUAACACAUGCAAGUCGAGCGAGAAAGUAUCUUCGGAUAUGAGUAGAGCGGCGGACGGGUGAGUAACGCGUAGGAAUCUACCUAGUAGAAGGGGAUAGCCCGGGGAAACUCGGAUUAAUACCGUAUACCUCCUAAGGGAGAAAGAGGGCCUCUCUUGAAGCUCUCGCUACUAGAUGAGCCUGCGUAAGAUUAGCUUGUUGGUAAGGUAAUGGCUUACCAAGGCUACGAUCUUUAGCUGGUCUGAGAGGACGAUCAGCCACAUUGGGACUGAGACACGGCCCAGACUCCUACGGGAGGCAGCAGUGGGGAAUAUUGGACAAUGGGCGCAAGCCUGAUCCAGCCAUACCGCGUGUGUGAAGAAGGCCUUCGGGUUGUAAAGCACUUUAAGCAGGGAGAAAAAGCAAUAAGUUAAUACCUUAUUGCCGUGAUGUUACCUGCAGAAUAAGCACCGGCUAAU
rnacentral:rRNA from 1 species